GGUCGAGUGGUCUAGUGGUAUGAUUCCUCUUUCGGGAAGGUCCCCAGUUCUUCAGAAUUGAAUAUAGAGGAGGUCCCGGGUUCAAUCCCCGGCUCGACCC